CCUACGGGAGGCAGCAGUGGGGAAUUUUGGACAAUGGGCGCAAGCCUGAUCCAGCAAUGCCGCGUGAGUGAAGAAGGCCUUCGGGUUGUAAAGCUCUUUUGUCAGGGAAGAAACGGCCUGUUCUAAUACAGUGGGCUAAUGACGGUACCUGAAGAAUAAGCACCGGCUAACUACGUGCCAGCAGCCGCGGUAAUACGUAGGGUGCAAGCGUUAAUCGGAAUUACUGGGCGUAAAGCGUGCGCAGGCGGUUUUGUAAGUCUGUCGUGAAAUCCCCGGGCUCAACCUGGGAAUGGCGAUGGAGACUGCAAGGCUAGAGUUUGGCAGAGGGGGGUAGAAUUCCACGUGUAGCAGUGAAAUGCGUAGAUAUGUGGAGGAACACCGAUGGCGAAGGCAGCCCCCUGGGUCAAAACUGACGCUCAUGCACGAAAGCGUGGGGAGCAAACAGGAUUAGAUACCCUGGUAGUCCACGCCCUAAACGAUGUCUACUAGUUGUCGGGUCUUAAUUGACUUGGUAACGCAGCUAACGCGUGAAGUAGACCGCCUGGGGAGUACGGUCGCAAGAUUAAAACNCAAAAUGAAUUGACCGGNUGAGACGAGCGACGACGACGACGAGGGAGGAGG
rnacentral:rRNA from 1 species